GCUAUACCCUGACUCAGCGUCUACCUUAGCAGGAGUUAGGCUUACUGCUGAAUUGGUGUUAGAAACACACACAAGGAGAGCAGGAAACUCCCCGAGGAUUGACAAUAA